UGGGGAAUAUUGGACAAUGGACCAAAAGUCUGAUCCAGCAAUUCUGUGCGCACGAUGACGUUUUUCGGAAUGUAAAGUGCUUUCAGUUGGGAAGAAAAAAAUGACGGUACCAACAGAAGAAGUGACGGCUAAAUACGUGCCAGCAGCCGCGGUAAUACGUAUGUCACAAGCGUUAUCCGGAUUUAUUGGGCGUAAAGCGCGUCUAGGUGGUUAUGUAAGUCUGAUGUGAAAAUGCAGGGCUCAACUCUGUAUUGCGUUGGAAACUGCAUGACUAGAGUACUGGAGAGGUAAGCGGAACUACAAGUGUAGAGGUGAAAUUCGUAGAUAUUUGUAGGAAUGCCGAUGGGGAAGCCAGCUUACUGGACAGAUACUGACGCUAAAGCGCGGCGUGGGUAGCAAACAGGAUUAGAUACCCUGGUAGUCCACGCCGUAAACGAUGAUUACUAGGUGUUGGGGGUCGAACCUCAGCGCCCAAGCUAACGCGAUAAGUAAUCCGCCUGGGGAGUACGUACGCAAGUAUG
rnacentral:rRNA from 1 species